rnacentral:lncRNA from 1 species
GAACCACUCAAAGAGCUUGAGAUGGGCUCUCGUUCUCAGGCAGUGGGAGACAGAAGACUCUAGAUGGCUUCUGGCCCGAGCAUGUAAGAGAGCCCUCCUUACUGAAGUGGCUUCACGAACAUCAGUUUGACUGCCUUGAAGAGAACAUUGCCAUGUCUGCAUGUGUGGAUGAAAAGUGCGAUCUUAAUCUUGCAACCAGGGAGCUGAGUUAGCCACAGGGAAGAUUGCAGAGCAGAUGAUUAAAGAUAUGUUAGUUUCUGCUGACAUCAUGAAGUCACUGCCUUUCU